CAUUUUCCCACUUGAAUACGUGUUAUGUUAAGGUCAAUGAUCCAACUUAACUUUUUCUCUUUGUUGGCAGUUUCUUCAUCUGCUUUUGAUGUCUCCCUCAGUUCAUCCCUGUCCCGCUGCUAUCAAGAAAAGUAACACCUUGCUCAACGCUUUCUGAACAGGUGCUUCCACACUUGCCCUGGCCUCUGAGGCCCUGGGACGGUUGCACGGUGCAAGCACUGCUCCCAGAGUCACUCUGCUGAGCUCCUGCUGCCAAGGCUGAGUCACAGAGCUCUGAGUGACCUGUUCUACCACGAGGUAUUUGGCCAAUAUUAGGACGUCUCCUACAAGAUAUACUUCCUUGUGGAGCAUUUGAAUAAACUCGUUCAUUUCUUUGAA